AGGUAAGAAGCGAUUAAUUGCAGUCAGUUUCGACCUGCCCUUAGGUACUUCAGUAUACCCUUACCUU
rnacentral:tRNA from 1 species